GUUGAACUAUAAAAUAACUAAAUAAGAGCAUCGCAGUAUAUCAUUUGUGUGUGUGUGUGUGUGUGUUUACGCGCGCGUGUGUGUGUGUGUGUUUGCGCACGUGUAUGUGAGUUUCAGAAGGGAACUCAUCCACUGAAGCAUUUUUCAAGUUUAGGGCAAUUAAGGAGAAGGAGAGAAAGUCAUUCUUUUCAAAGACACGUCAUGCCUUUCAGAGUGAACAGAAAGAAAAAUCUCCAAAAGUGUCAUCUGUCGUUUAAGUUGCAUAGAUUGUUCAGAUUUUGUUGUAUAGGCAGACCCAAACCUUGUUAAGUGACUAAUCAUAUCAAUUUGUCAAACUAUAUAUUCUUUACUGCAGACUCAGGCUACAUAGUGAGACAUACAGAACACAACAACAACCACAGGAAGCAUAUGUUUUGUUUACCAAUUUCUAUUUUAUUGCCUUUUUUUGCUAUUUGCAGAUAUAUGUUGGAGUUAUGAGGUUGACAGGUGACUCCCUAAAAGCUGUGAGAGGGAAGUCACUCCCACUUCAAGUUCAGCCUCACUGGUCAUUAGAGCAGCUGUUGGCUGCUGCUGUUAAAAAGCAAAAAGACUUUAACCAGGACAUGCAAGAUGUUGUCCAUAUUUUGUUGUAGCCUGAUGGCAGAAAAGUGAUAAAUGUACCAGGAACAGAUGACCCUUUCACUGUCCAGAAGUACAAGGAGGCAAUAGGGAAAGCCUACCAGAGAAUAACACUCUACAUUUGCACGGCAGAGGACUUUGAAACCAUUUGUAAGUUUUCUUUAAGUCUAAUUCCAUUCUUUAAAAUGUCAUGGUUUGAUUUGAGUUUUUCCACCCAUAUCUUAUCCAUGCAUGAUUAUUUCUGCCUAUUACAAAAAAAACACUAUAGUAAUGAUUUUUUUUUUUAGCUGCAUCUUUUUAAAGGUCAUACCGGACAGUCUUCCAAUGAAGAUGACAGAGGAUACAGAAGAUACAGAUCUCUCUGUAUGUCUCUGAGCCCCAGUCUCCUAGGUUGCUCUGGACUGAUGGCUGCUGCAGACCUGCCUGACUCCAGCCGCAUCAUCUAUGAUCGUCCGCCUCAGGUCCUGAGCUCCUUCUUCUCUUUGGUUCCUCUGGACUGUUACUGCAGAUAUGAACAUAUCUCUCUCUCUCUCUCUGCCUCUCUCCCUCUAUCUCUCUACAUUCCUCCCCAACCCAGCAGUGGCAUGGUGGCUGUCUAACAUGAGUAUGGUCCUGCUCAAGGUUUCUGCCUGUUAAAAGGAAGUUUUUUCUUGCCACUGCUACUUAUGUUAGAUGAGAUGGGCCAAAACCCAUCUUAGGUUGGUUCUUGAUCAUCAAACAAUGAGCGUGGUCUAGACCUGCUCUUGUUCUUUGAAAAGCAUCUUGAGAUGACGACUGUUGUGAAUUGGCGCUAUAUAAAUAAAAUUU